rnacentral:rRNA from 1 species
UACGUAGGGUGCGAGCGUUAAUCGGAAUUACUGGGCGUAAAGCGUGCGCAGGCGGUUUUGCAAGCCGGAUGUGAAAUCCCCGGGCUUAACCUGGGAAUGGCAUUUGGGACUGCAAGGCUGGAGUGUGGCAGAGGAGACUGGAAUUCCUGGUGUAGCAGUGAAAUGCGUAGAUAUCAGGAGGAAUACCGAUGGCGAAGGCAGGUCUCUGGGCUGACACUGACGCUCAUGCACGAAGGUCAGGGGAGCAAACGGG